UGUUUAGUAGUCUAUUUUAAGAUUUAAAAUUGCAAAUUUUAAGAAAAGUCUUUCUUCUAAACUU
rnacentral:tRNA from 1 species